UUUCUUUUAAACAUCACUUAAUACAAAAUGUCAACAAGAGUUUUGCAUAAGAUGGGUCUUCAAGAAGACCGAGACAUGCCACCUGCUAAUGAUGAAUCAAGUGAUGACACUGAAACUAGUUUUGGUGGUGUAAAUAAGAAAACACAUUUAAAUAUUUGAAUAUUGGUUCAAUGUCAGAAACUGAAAUUAAAGAAGAUACGAUCAUGAAACUACAGACUCUUUAAAAAAGAGAGAUGAUCAUUUGUUUUGUGAUAAAGAAUACAGUAGACAAAAAAAAGAGGAAGGAGUCGUGUAAAGUGUUAUCAUCUCAUACUCAAAGUAGUAAAGACAAUGUUAAUGAUGAAAGAAGUGUUUGCGAGGUAAAUAAAAUUUUGGGUGAAGUAUCUUAUAAGGAUAUAGAUGAAGAAGCAUCAUCAUUUCAAAAUAAUUUACCUCAGAUCAAGUAAUGUAUUUACAUCAAGAAUAUUUAAUCUGUGCAACAUCACAACCUUAAUCUAAACAAUGAACUCUGAAAAAUGUUUCAAGCUGAACUCAGAAAAACAAAAUUUAGAGGAAGAAAUUAUUUAAAGACAACCCCUUGUUACCCCUAAAGAUAAUUUUCCACCUGUAGGGAAAUCAGGAUCAACAAUGAAAUACAUUGAAACUAAAAAUGGUAUAAUGUACUUUUCAUAUGAACAUAAUCCAAAAUAUCAGCAAGUUCAAUUACAACUUUAUGAUGCUGUCUCACACAUGUCUCAACAACAUUUGGUGAAUAUAAUCAACCUUCCAUAUAAUGUUGUGCUAUUACAAAUGACUGAGUGGGCUCGUUUGAAUGCAAAUCUCCCAGUAGCAGCUGAACUAACUGAACAAGCUUUGUACUCUUUAGAAGAUUCUCUUCGUCCUAUGUUCAGUUUAUCAAAAUGCUGCUUAGAUUAUCAAUUAUCAUAAUUGAGCCUCAAAAAGAAUUUUUGAUAAAAAUUUAUUAUCACUUAGUUUUUGGAAGGGUUGAUGACAUUUUGCAACUAAUAUAGAACCUGCUGUACUAAAUAAACGUUCUACUGGAGCACUUGAUGGCAGAAGACCAACAUUAAAACGCAUAAAAGCUUUUAGUACAUUAGGAUAACCAUGUGGAAUACUUAAACGACAAUUAGAAAACUUUAAAAAAUCAUUUAAUUGCUGGUCAAGUUUUAUUUUUUUUUUUGGCCUGUUUAAAGUUGUGGGCAUACAAAAAAAAUUUUCCUCGUCUUCUUUGCCAUCAGAACAAGAGCUUUUAGAUGAUUUAGAAAUUCUGAAAUUCUGCUUUCAGCCAUCCUUCUGCCAAAAACAAAAUAUCUGUAUCAUUCAACCAAUUUAAUUUAAAUCUUAGAAUCAAGCAUGUUGUGUUUAUUAAUUCUUUGUAGGGUUGUUUCGUUUUAAACAUUUUGUUAUAAUCAACUGUUUUGCAUUUGCUUAGGUUUAAAACACUUAAAUUAAACAAGCAUUUUUUUUUCAUUUUCUUUAUUAAUAUAAUGAAAAAACUUAAGAAAAAUUCUCAAAUACAAAAUACAUUUUACAAACUUCUAUAUCAUGGGCAAGUAAGCUCAAUAUAUGGGCUGAAAAACUAUAAGUUAUUUUAUCUUUUCUGUGUAAUUCCUCAAACAGAUUUCUUCUCAGUUUGGUCACAUUUGCAGCGUUGUCUGAGACUAUACUAGUUACCUUACAAUUAUAUUCUUCACAUUUCUUAAUUGAAUUUUUAGAUUGCUGUAAUAAAUACUCAGAAGUGUGACUAGCUUAUAAAGUAGAAAGUAAUCUAAUUAAGAAAAUUACUGGUUCAUAAUAACUUUUGUUUAAGUAUUUAGAAGUUAUUCUCAUUUUUAUACCUAAGCGUGAUCAAGAGUAGGGCCGGAAACAACUAGUGAUAAAAAAUAGAAUCAUCCACUACUCACCACCAGCAAUUACUUUAAAUUGUUAAUAACUCAUUUUCAUAAUUAAAUUUUUAUUUUUUUUUGUUAUACUGUUUGUAAAGUAAUACUUUUGUAUAAAAAACUUAUCGUGCCGGGUAUAGUCGGGCACUGCUACUGAAAACUGUGAUCUACCUAUAAGAACAAGAUUGUACUAAAUAAAAUUAUUUUUACAAAACAAUAAGUAAAAAUAUGGUUAAAUUAAUUUUUUCAAAACUUUUUAUAGUGUAAUAUCAAAACCAACUUGUAAUCUUUAUUAUAACAUUAAAUAAUAUCACACUUUAUUUGAAAAAUUAGUUAUUAUGAGAUGCAAUAUUGUUAUAAUACAGUAAUAUAUUUU